rnacentral:rRNA from 1 species
AUUGAACGCUGGCGGCAGGCCUAACACAUGCAAGUCGAGCGAGUGGCGGACGGGUGAGUAAUGUAUGGGGACCUGCCCGAUAGCGGGGGAUAACUACUGGAAACGGUGGCUAAUACCGCAUACUAUUGGAUGAGCCCAUAUGGGAUUAGCUAGUUGGUGGGGUAAAGGCUCACCUAGGCGACGAUCCGUAGCUGGUUUGAGAGGAUGAUCAGCCACACUGGGACUGAGACACGGCCCAGACUCCUACGGGAGGCAGCAGUGGGGAAUAUUGCACAAUGGGGGCAAGCCUGAUGCAGCCAUGCCGCGUGUAUGAAGAAGGCCUUCGGGUUGUAAAGUACUUUCAGCAGAGAGGCGGUACCCGCAGAAGAAGCACCGGCUAACUCCGUGCCAGCAGCCGCGGUAAUUC